CAGUAGCCGCGGGAAUACGAAGGGGGCUAGCGUUGCUCGGAAUCACUGGGCGUAAAGGGUGCGUAGGCGGGUUUUUAAGUCAGAGGUGAAAUCCCCGGGCUUAACCCGGAAACUGCCGUUGAUACUAUCUGUCUUGAAUAUAGUGGAGGUGAGCGGAAUAUGUCAUGUAGCGGUGAAAUGCUUAGAUAUGACAUAGAACACCGAUUGCGAAGGCAGCUCGCUACACUAUUAUUGACGCUGAGGCACGAAAGCGUGGGGAUCAAACAGGAUUAGAUACCCCUGUAGUCCCUGUCUCUUAUAC
rnacentral:rRNA from 1 species